ensembl:lncRNA
CUCCAGGCAAGAGAGACCCUGGAGUCGGUUGCCAUUUCCUACUCCAGGGGACCUUUCUGACCCAGGGAUCAAACUUAUGACUCCAGCGUUGCAGAAACUGUGCCAACCACCACAACAAAGAUGUGACUUGGCCAUCUUCCAGGACUCCAAGAUGAUCUUUUUUGGCACUGCUGGAGACAGACAUCAUAGCUGCAAGCAGAAGGUCUACGUGGACAGGCAGAAAACACAUCGUGUGAAACAAGCCCCAGAGCUGAGCCAGCCAUUUUCAUGUGCCCACUUUGGCAGGGAAACUGGACGCCAAGUUUGUGGAAGAGAAGGAUUGGUGUCAAGGUUCACAUAGGUCUGCAGAGGCCAUGGUGCUUUCCAGUCACAUCAAUUCCCACGUGAAUACUGGAAACCUCACUAAGUGAUUAAAACUACAGAAAGAGUUUGGUUUAUGCAUGAUUCUUGGACCUCUGUCUAGGGAAAAAAAUAAACAUUAA